AGAACCAAACAUACACCAUCUGUCUUCUCCCUGCAGCAUCCAUAACCUAUAGCUCAAACCCUAACCAUUCAACCUUAUUAUCAGUCAUUCACUCCGGCGAACGGCGAUGUCUCACUUCGGAAGAACAGGCCCUCCGGACAUCAAAGAUACCUUCUCUCUCCUCGUUCUCAACGUUACUUUCCGUACCACUGCUGAUGACUUGUUUCCUCUUUUCGAUAAGUAUGGAAAAGUCGUCGAUGUCUUUAUCCCUAGAGACCGAAGGACUGGAGAUUCUAGGGGUUUUGCAUUUGUACGCUACAAGUAUCAGGAUGAGGCUCAAAAGGCAGUGGAAAAGCUCGAUGGAAGAGUUGUAGAUGGUCGAGAAAUAAUGGUUCAAUUUGCAAAGUACGGCCCAAAUGCCGAGAGAAUUGACAAAGGUAGAAUUUUGGAGCCUGUACAUAGUACAAGAGGAAGGUCAAGAAGCCGCAGUCCUAGUUCAAGGCAUCGUGAUCGUUAUAGGGAAAAGGAUUCUAAAAGGAGAAGCCGAAGUAGAAGUAGGGACAGGUAUGAACAUGAUAGGUACCGUGGGAGAGACAAGGAUUACCGUCAUAAGAGCAGAAGCCGCAGCCCUGAUUACCGCAAAGAUCGCGAGAGAGGUAAAUAUGAUGAGGAGAGGCGCAGCCGAAGCCGGUCUCAUAGAAGUGUGUCCCCUGCUCGCCGUAGCCUCAGUCCUCGGAGGAGCCCUUCUCCACGUAGAACAACCCCUUCUAGGGAUGCUAGUCCAGCUGGACGUAAUCACAAGGACUGGUCUCCAACUCCAAAGAGUGUCUCACCGCGGGGUAGACGUGGUGGUUCUCGCAGCCCCUUGCCGCAUUCUGAUGCUGAUGAUUAAGGAGCAAAAGAGAAGGCCAUGAAUGUAAUCUGGUUCUGGUCGAUGUUGCGUAUCAAGAGUACAUUCCCAAAUGAAGGAUCCUUUCAUCUAUUUUCUGCUUGCUAGAACUGAUUGGCCCGUCUUAUUUAUAAGCUGGGUCCGUGAAAAAUCAAUGUGGCUGAAUUGCAAGAUGAUACAGCAGCUGUUGAUGCUGUUAUAUUUGCUGUUGGUUGUAAUUUUGUUGCUGGUCACAAACUACCAUUUCUUCGCUGAAUGGCAAGGAGAUGCUGCAGCUGUAGAUGCUGUUUUAUCUUGGCUGAUUAUAAUUUGUUGCUGGUGACAUACUACUGUUUGUUGGUUGAAUGGCAAGCAUAUGCAGCAGCUGUUGAUGCUGUUUUAGCUUUGCUGUUGUAAUUUGUUGCUGGUGACAAAAUACCAUUUCUAUACAAAUGUUCAGGAUGCUCAUGAUCGGUAAGGAUCAAAACUCCUGAAUAACUGAAGUCAUGCUAGGUUUAUGCCUUUGGCCUGCCAGUCAUUUUUUUAUCUUUCUUUAUAUGAAAGAAAUCCACAUGUUCAAGUGUAGCUAUUGAAGUUGAUUCCAGGUUGAUAUUUUGUUAUGCCGAGUAGAAAUUUCAAUAUGUGACCAAAUGAAUGAGUUCAGAUGUAGUGAUUGUGUGAUCUUAAACAUUGCACGGAUUUGAUUUCUCAUUUUUUACCCUUAUCAAAAUAAAUGAAUAAUGAAUCACGCAA